rnacentral:misc_RNA from 1 species
AAAACACUGCUUUUUUGUUUCUGGGCCCCUGAAAGGGACACCAUCCUCCAUAAACAAGCCACUUCUCUCUUUGUACGGGUGUCAUGUGAGAUGCUUUAACUCUUCCUUUCUUUUCACAGACCUCCAGGAAGGUCAAAAAAAGAGUGAUUUAUAGACCCUGGAAUCCUAACAUGUGAUAAGCCGAGCCGCUGUUUCUCUUGUCCUCCAUUGAUAUUUCUUUUUUGCUUUUCUUGUCUAAAUAUCACGGGCGAAGAAAGAAGAGAAGCACCCAGAGCACAGAAACCCAGUUUUGGGAUCUGAUUGGUGAGUUUUGAGGUUUUAGUUUAACUGGGGAUCAUGAUGCUCCAGAAAAGAGGAGCUUUAGCUGGACUUCUGGUGCUGCUUUUACCUCUUCUCUUGCCUGUUUUGUUUAGCCCAUUGAGCCAUGCCUCCCCUUCUACCUUCUCGGAUUGGAAUGUCCCAAAACCUAGGCACUUGGCUCUGCUGAAGAGUGCUCUGCAGCGUGAGAGUACGCACGAAAAGCGUUCUGAUCUCUGGGUUCCUUUAGCCGAUCAAGGAUGGAGGCCAUGUGUUGAAUCUACAAAUGCCCCUUCAGCGUUGCCAGCAAAAUCUGAGGGAUAUCUUCAAGUUUUUCUUGAUGGAGGGUUGAACCAGCAGAGAAUGGGGAUAUGUGAUGCAGUGGCAGU